ACACUCGUUCUUAGAGGAUUCCUUUCAAUGGAGAAUUGUGUGGUAAAGAACACCAAAAUUCUGCUAACAGAACUUCCCACGAAUCCACUGAAGAAUCGAAAAAAUGUUUGAAGUAAGUUUACUAAAAAUGACUGGACAUUGCUAGCCGUGAUAUCACACGAUAUCUGUUCAAGCUACUUGGUGUUAACACGUUUAAUCAAAUCGUUGCCUUUGAAACUGAUGAAAGAGAAAAUUCGCUAUAUUGCCUAUGACAUCGAGAUGGAACAGCGAGUUUUUAGGCACUAUUCCAACCACAUUUAAUAAAUGUUGAAGGACAAGACAUCGCUGAGUUAGUGUUUAACACCAUACAAACGACCGAUAUCGAAAUACGACCGGCAUUAUACAAUCAUAUCGUGUCAUCUGGUGAUUCGUGUGCUCAAGAAUGAAGUGAAUAAAUCACCGGAAAAAAUUUAAAAUUCGUCUUGAAUAUCCACUAAGACAAAUAAGUAGAUAUAUGUAAUCUUCAUCGGCGGCUGUUUUUUGGCUGAAAUCGCAAAGGAUCGCAAUGAUUUUAGAAGUACAUAUGUAUGUGUGAAACAAGAAAGAUAAGAAAAGUUUUACAGAAACUUACAAAGAGCUCACAGUUAUAGCAAGGGCCAAAAGUUAUUGAAAGAAAUUUAAUAUUGUUAAAUGUGGGAAAUUUAUUUAGACACGAAAAAAAUGGCGGCAGAACUGAAAGUUGACGAAAAAACCCAAGAAUCUGCGGCCGACAAGCAAAACUCACUUUUCUAAAAAAUUAUUGAGCGGAUUUCAGCUGAGUUUGCUGUUUCCAGAAAAAGUAUGUGGUUUGAAAACCAAAGAAAUGGGAAAUCUUAUUGACUGUUUGAU